GACGAACGCUGGCGGCGUGCUUAACACAUGCAAGUCGAACGGAAAGGCCCUGCUUUUGUGGGGUGCUCGAGUGGCGAACGGGUGAGUAACACGUGAGUAACCUGCCCUUGACUUUGGGAUAACUUCAGGAAACUGGGGCUAAUACCGGAUAGGAGCUCCUGCUGCAUGGUGGGGGUUGGAAAGUUUCGGCGGUUGGGGAUGGACUCGCGGCUUAUCAGCUUGUUGGUGGGGUAGUGGCUUACCAAGGCUUUGACGGGUAGCCGGCCUGAGAGGGUGACCGGCCACAUUGGGACUGAGACACGGCCCAGACUCCUACGGGAGGCAGCAGUGGGGAAUAUUGCACAAUGGGCGGAAGCCUGAUGCAGCAACGCCGCGUGCGGGAUGACGGCCUUCGGGUUGUAAACCGCUUUCGCCUGUGACGAAGCGUGAGUGACGGUAAUGGGUAAAGAAGCACCGGCUAACUACGUGCCAGCAGCCGCGGUGAUACGUAGGGUGCGAGCGUUGUCCGGAUUUAUUGGGCGUAAAGGGCUCGUAGGUGGUUGAUCGCGUCGGAAGUGUAAUCUUGGGGCUUAACCCUGAGCGUGCCUUCGAUACGGGUUGACUUGAGGAAGGUAGGGGAGAAUGGAAUUCCUGGUGGAGCGGUGGAAUGUGCAGAUAUCAGGAGGAACACCAGUGGCGAAGGCGGUUCUCUGGGCCUUUCCUGACGCUGAGGAGCGAAAGCGUGGGGAGCGAACAGGCUUAGAUACCCUGGUAGUCCACGCUGUAAACGGUGGGUACUAGGUGUGGGGUCCAUUCCACGGGUUCCGUGCCGUAGCUAACGCUUUAAGUACCCCGCCUGGGGAGUACGGCCGCAAGGCUAAAACUCAAAGGAAUUGACGGGGCCCCGCACAAGCGGCGGAGCAUGCGGAUUAAUUCGAUGCAACGCGUAGAACCUUACCUGGGUUUGACAUGGAUCGGGAGUGCUCAGAGAUGGGUGUGCCUCUUUUGGGGUCGGUUCACAGGUGGUGCAUGGCUGUCGUCAGCUCGUGUCGUGAGAUGUUGGGUUAAGUCCCGCAACGAGCGCAACCCUUGUUCACUGUUGCCAGCACGUUAUGGUGGGGACUCAGUGGAGACCGCCGGGGUCAACUCGGAGGAAGGUGGGGAUGACGUCAAGUCAUCAUGCCCCUUAUGUCCAGGGCUUCACGCAUGCUACAAUGGCUGGUACAGAGAGUGGCGAGCCUGUGAGGGUGAGCGAAUCUCGGAAAGCCGGUCUCAGUUCGGAUUGGGGUCUGCAACUCGACCUCAUGAAGUCGGAGUCGCUAGUAAUCGCAGAUCAGCAACGCUGCGGUGAAUACGUUCCCGGG
rnacentral:rRNA from 1 species